CCCUUCGACGAGUCGAGUUGUUUGGGAAUGCAGCUCAAAAUGGGUGGUAAAUUUCAUCUAAGGCUAAAUACCGGCCAGAGACCGAUAGCGCACAAGUAGAGUGAUCGAAAGAUGAAAAGCACUUUGGAAAGAGAGUCAAACAGUACGUGAAAUUGUUGAAAGGGAAGCGCUUGCAACCAGACCUGUCCGCCGGCGAUCAACCUUCGUUCUCGGGGGUGCACUCGUCGGCGAUCAGGCCAGCAUCGGUUCGGGCGGCCGGAUAAAGGCCUUGGGAAUGUAUCUCCCCUCGGGGAGUCUUAUAGCCCUCGGUGCAAUGCGGCCAGCCGGGACCGAGGACCGCGCUUCGGCUAGGAUGCUGGCGUAAUGGUUGUAAGCGACCCGUCUUGAAACACGGACCAAGGAGUCUAACAUCUAUGCGAGUGCUUGGGUGUUAAACCCAUGCGCGUAAUGAAAGUGAACGGAGGUGAGAACCCCGAAGGGCGCAUCAUCGACCGAUCCAGAUGUCUUCGGAUGGAUUUGAGUACGAGCAUAGCUGUUGGGACCCAGAUGGUGAACUAUGCCUGAAUAGGGUGAAGCCAGAGGAAACUCUGGUGGAGGCUCGCAGCGGU
rnacentral:rRNA from 1 species